AUACACAUCUCCGGGCCGACGAGACGCUACCCAGUCGCGCGAGUGGCGGAAGGGUGAGUAAUGUCUGGGAAACUGCCCGAUGGGGGGGGAUAACAAAUGGAAAAGGUAGCUAAUACCGCAUACCAUCAGAUGUGCCCAGGUGGGAUUAGCUUGUUGGUGGGGUAACGGCUCACCAAUGCGACGAUCCCUAGCUGGGCUGAGAGGAUGACCAGCCAAACGGGAACUGAGACACGGCCAAGACCCCUACGCUCGGCAGCAGUGGGGAAUAUUGCACAAUGGGCGCAAGCCGGCUGCGGCCAUGCCGCGUGUAGGAAAAAGGCCUUCGGGUUUUAAAGGACUUUCAGCGGGGAGGCGUUACCCGAAGAAGAAGCACCGGCUAACGACGGGCCAGCAGCCGCGGUAAUUC
rnacentral:rRNA from 1 species